rnacentral:rRNA from 1 species
CCUACGGGAGGCAGCAGUGAGGAAUAUUGGUCAAUGGGAGGAAUCCUGAACCAGCCAUGCCGCGUGCAGGACGACGGCUCUACGAGUUGUAAACUGCUUUUGUACCGGGGUAAAAUGCUCUACGAGUAGGGUUUUGAAAGUACGGUUCGAAUAAGGAUCGGCUAACUCCAUGCCAGCAGCCGCGGUAAUACGGAGGAGCCGAGCGUUAUCCGGAUUUAUUGGGUUUAAAGGGUGCGUAGGUUGUUUUAUAAGUUAGCGGUGAAAUACCGAUGCUCAACAUCGGGGCUGCCGCUGAUACUGUAGGACUAGAGAUCGGAUGCAGCAGGCGGAAUGUGUAGUGUAGCGGUGAAAUGCAUAGAUAUUACACAGAACACCGAUUGCGAAGGCAGCUUGCUAGGCCGGAUCUGACACUGAUGCACGAAAGCGUGGGGAUCGAACAGGAUUAGAUACCCCAGUAGUC